CACGGGGGGAGCAAGCGUUGUUCGGAAUCACUGGGCGUAAAGGGCGUGUAGGCGGUCAGGUAAGUGAGAUGUGAAAUGCCCCGGCUCACCCGGGGACCGGCAUCUCAUACUGCUUGGCUUGAGUACGGGAGAGGAUGUGGGAAUUCCUGGUGUAGCGGUGAAAUGCGUAGAUAUCAGGAGGAACACCGGUGGCGAAGGCGCACAUCUGGCCCGAUACUAACGCUGAGGCGCGAAAGCUAGGGGAGCAAACGGG
rnacentral:rRNA from 1 species